UUCACACUUCUGAACAUGAGGUUCCCGGCUCAGCUCCUGGGGCUCCUCCUGCUCUGGGUCCCAGGAUCCAGUGGAGACAUUGUGCUGACCCAGACUCCACUCUCCCUGUCUGUCGUCCCUGGAGAGACGGCCUCCAUCUCCUGCAAGUCACGUCAGAGCCUCCUGCAUAGUGAUGGAAAAACUUAUGCGUAUUGGCUCCUACAGAAGCCAGGCCAGUCUCCACAGCGACUGAUCUAUCAGGUUUCCAACCGUGACACUGGGGUCCCAGACAGGUUCACUGGAAGUGGGUCAGGGACAGAUUUCACACUGACAAUCAGCAGAGUGCAGGCUGAGGAUGCUGGAGUCUAUUACUGUUGUCAAGGUACACAGAGUCCUCGGACGUUUGGUCAAGGAACCAACCUGGAAAUCAAGCGGUCUGAUGCUCAGCCAUCCAUCUUCCUCUUCAAACCAUCUGACGAGCAGCUGACGACUGAAACUGUCUCUGUCGUGUGCUUGGUGAAUGAUUUCUACCCCAAAGAUAUCGAUGUCAAGUGGAAAGUGGAUGGGGUUACCCAGAGCAGCAACUUCCAGAACAGUUUCACAGACCAGGACAGCAAGAAAAGCACCUACAGCCUCAGCAGCACCCUGACACUGUCCAGUUCGGAGUACCAAAGCCAUAACGUCUAUGCGUGCGAGGUCAGCCACAAGAGCCUGACUAGCGCCAUCGUCAAGAGCUUCAGUAAGAACGAAUGUUAGAGCAAGAGGUCUACAGGCUCUCCAGUCACCUGGGCUGAUUUGGUCCCAGCCCCUCACCCCUCCUCAGGCCCUUUUCCCACAGAUCAACCCCUAUUGCAAUCCUCUGACCCAUCUCCCCACCUCAUCCCCCUCCCCCUCUUUGGCUUUAAUCAUGCUAAUGUUGGGGGGACAGUGAAUAAAUAAAGUAAAUCUUUGCACCUGU